GGUUCUAUGGUAGUCUCAAGUCAAAGGAUUACAUGCACAACUCUCACUAUAAGAAAAUACCUUUUGACGGGUAAGUAAAUUCCAUAAGAUAUUUCUUAAGUAGGAUCAAUUCAGUGAACUCAUUCUCUAAUGAGCACCUACUUUCUUGUAUUAGUAUCUCACACAAGUGGCUUAUGAGAUUAGCCACCCUCUCUAUCAAGCAUAC
rnacentral:lncRNA from 1 species